rnacentral:rRNA from 1 species
GCACAAGCGGUGGAGCAUGUGGUUAAUUCGACGCAACGCGAAGACCUUACCAGGGCUUGACAUCCCCUGACCGCGUAUGAAAGUACGUUUUCACCCUCGGGUGACAGGGAGACAGGUGGUGCAUGGUUGUCGUCAGCUCGUGUCGUGAGAUGUUGGGUUAAGUCCCGCAACGAGCGCAACCCCUACGUUUAGUUGCUAACGCGUGAAGGCGAGCACUCUAGACGAACUGCCGUUGACAAAACGGAGGAAGGUGGGAUGACGUCAAAUCAUCAUGCCCCUUAUGUUCUGGGCUACACACGUGCUACAAUGGCCGGUACAGACGGAGGCGAAGCCGCGAGGCGGAGCAAAUCCGAAAAAGCCGGUCUCAGUUCGGAUUGCAGGCUGCAAUUCGCCUGCAUGAAGUCGGAAUCGCUAGUAAUCGCAGGUCAGCAUACUGCGGUGAAUACGUUCCCGGGCCUU